rnacentral:lncRNA from 1 species
UCAGGUACAAUAAGAACUCAAAUAUUUAUUUCUUACACAAUCCCUGAAGUUCAUUGUAUUGUUCUUGUCGUGUAGCAACAUAUAACAAUGGGAUUUCGCAUACCUGGUAUUAGAAGGGCUUCAUUCCAAGCAGCUCCAAAGGCUGUGGAAGUCCCAAAAGGGUACCUUGCAGUCUACGUUGGAGAGAAAAUGAAGCGUUUUAUUAUUUCAAUUUCAUACUUGAGCCAACCUUCAUUUCAAGAAUUACUAAGCCAAGUUGAAGAAGAAUUUGGAUAUGAUCAUCCAAUGGGUGGUCUCACAAUUCCUUGCAACGAGGAUGCUUUCUUAGACCUUGUUUCUCGGUUAAAUAGGCUAUAAAUCAUACUGAAGGAAACUGACAUAGAUUAGUUGAGGCAAAUUGGAAUUGUACAGCAGAAAGUUUCAUUUUUUCUUUUCUUUUUGUCCAUCUUUUGUAACAGUAAAAUGCUUUGCUUUUAAAGCAGUUAUGAAUAGAGGAAAUAUAGUUCUUGAUCAAAUUUGAAUGCAGAUUAUGAGCUAAAUGGACAAAAUCUAGUAUUAUGUCAAAAUAUCAUUUUUUUAUUUCAUUUUAAGUCAUAGAUCCAACAUAAAUAUAUAGCAACUUGGAAUUCAUGCUGCGCAUGCUAUGCUGCAAUGAAGACUAUAGACAUAUAUAUUCAACAUCUCAAUUAUAUUGAAUUCAGGUUGAUUUCACAUUAUUUAACUCACUUGGAGACUAUAAACGAUCAGUAAUCUCAGCUUGAAGCGCAACGCAGGCAUAAGCUGCUCUCAGGAUGCAAUUAUUUUGACAAUAGAAUCUCGGAGAAGAGUGUUUCCUUCUUAUUUCCUUGCCUUUGGGAAUACAAUCUUUAAUCCUGUGGAAAAUUCAAUCACAAAUACAUUUUUUUAAAUUCCUUAUAUGAUUGAAAUUUACAGCAUGCGAGAUGAGUUUCCAUCCUAUCUAUUCAAUAUCUUAAUUCGUUCUUUUAUGUAGAUUUUCUUUUUAUCAGGCAUCGCCAUUGUGGAAGAUGGCAAGCGAAGAUUGAGAGUGUAGCAGGAAACAAAGAUCUUUACUUGAGAACUUUCAGAUAACCAAAUAGUCAUUCUCCAUGCACGUACUCCUAUAUUGGAAUCGAAUUCAAAUAAACCACUGAAUUGUAUGUAAUUAUUUGAAUUAUAGGUGCUGAGGAAGAGGUCUUAUGAUAUAGUUGUGAUAAAACUGAGGUAUUAAUGCAGCCACCAACUAUUUGGUGAGUUUGGUCAUCUUUUUGUAGUUCAUUAUUCCAAGUAAUUUGUAAUUGGGUUGUUUUUCUCCUUUGUAUCUGCCUUCACAACUUCAAGGCUAACACAUCGGAUCAAUCAAGAAGGUAAAACUGCAUGCGUUCCAUAAAAUUUAUUACUACCGAAGAUGACGUUCCAAGCUAGUUUAAUAGAGGUUCAUGAUUUCUAGUUCUAGUAGGUAAUUAUUUUACCAUGCAGACCAAAUCACCAAACAAUUAACACCAGUACAAGGUAUAGCUAAGUUCAUCUAAUAAUGGAAAUUCAUAUGAUUACAACUCUUCCUUUCCACAGUGUCUUUGAAACACUGGGAGAUACUAUUAUAAGAAAUGGUUAAUGAUCAUUUUAAGUUUACAUUUUUUUCAUUUCUUGACAUCCAAAAAGAGCUAAUAAUUUUCUUAAACACACUGUUGCUGGGAACUGGUAAAUGUAAUGCGCGUUAUAAAAUAUUCACAAAAACGCUUAUUAUCGACCAAACACAGUAUCAGCUACCUCGUGAAUGGAUGGGGAGGCUCUUCAGUGCCAAACUCAUUUUGAGCCACAAUAUUAUUUAACUUAUUAUUAAUGGAAUUAACAAACCAUUCUCUGAUUAUGAUAAAGUUGGACAGUGAUCAAGUUCAUGAUGCAUAUUGUCCUGUUCCCUCCUACCAAAAGUUCUAUGAUCUAUAAGUUAUCCACUUCCAUAUAAUUCAAAGGCACAUAUUAGUUACCAGGCUUAUAUCAGCAUUGAGACCUACCUUACCAAAAUGAACAAAAACAAGUGACAUUGUCUAAAUUAUAAAGCAUGUCUACACAAAUAAGGAGUAUUAUUGAAGAAUCAAUGAACAAACAUUAGGUUUCAAUCGAGCACGCGUAAUGUUACUGCAAGUGGCUGCUCCAAUUGCCAUUCCUUUGAAAAGGUGGGGUAUUCACUUUUGGACAACAUGUUAAUACUUGACAAGUUAACAGACAACACCAUGUGAUUUCUCAUCUGUAUGCUCCUCAUCCUUUUAACAAUGAUUUCUCUAGGAAUUGAGUUUCAAGAGACCCUUAAAAUGUAUAAAUAAACACCCUCUUGCCUUCACAAGGAACACAACGCACUUGCAUACUUAAGCAUCUCAAGUUAGGAACUUUCUUCUCACAUUUUAGAUCUUUACCUUGUUCUUCUUCCUGCAAACAAAUAAAAAAGAUGGGUUUCCGUUUACCUGCUAUUCUAAGGACAUCAUUCAACGCGAACCAAGAAAAUUCAAAAUGCAUAGAAGUCCAAAAGGGAUACCUUGCAGUAUAUGUUGGAGAGAAAUAUAAGCGGUUUGUGAUCCCAAUAUCAUACUUGAACCAACUUUCAUUCCAAAACUUGUUGAGCCAAGUUGAGCAAGAGUUUGGAUAUGAUCAUCCAAUGGGCGGUCUCACAAUUCCUUGCAGUGAAGAUGUCUUCCAAAAUAUAAUAUCUCGCUUCAGUGGAUUAUAAAUCUCAAAUUUUAGGUGACUAACAUAAGUAUAGACAUUUUGUACAAUUGGCAUCUUCUAAACUUGUAAACAGAUUACUAUUUGAAAUAACAAAUUCACAAACUGAGCAAUGGCAAUGUAUUCAGUUACUCAAGUAGCUUAUAUUUGUUUUCUGUUUUACUUGCAAAUUACCAUAGUCACUUCUCUCUAUAAUUAUGAACUUAUAAAGUAUGAUUAAGUCUUGUUGCUGUAAGAACAUUAUUUCAAAGCAGCAGCAGAAUAUGCGAUUUCUAGUCAGGGUAGAGCUAAAGUAUUUUUCCUUGAACCAAAGAGAAAGAUAAGUUUAUUGGGAUGAAGUUAAAAUAACUAAAACACAGAGCACACAGAAUUAAAUUUUGGGGGUGACAUGGCCCCGAUCAUACAUUAUCUAUAGUUCCGUAUCUCCAGAUUUUCACUUAUUUCUUUGUCGAUUUUUUAGCUAUGCCUCAAAUUUUCCAUAGUUAAUGAUCAGGGCUGUAUUUAUCAGACUUCAGUGCUAAGUACUUUGAAAAUCAGGACCAAGCCACUCUUUCUGUUGAAGCCUGCAGAAGAGCAUGCUGCAUGCAUUAUGGAUAUAAUUUCAUGCUUGAAGGAUUUAUCGAAUAGAAUGAAGAAGAAUUAUAUCAUCAAGUGAUGGUCUCACCAAAAUUCAGCUUUACCUUUAUGCCUUGGUUUCUAUUAAGACCUGCCAUUCUAAAUUGUUAUACUAAUUGGCAAUUGUUGCAUAAUACCUAUAAACAUGUUCAUUUUCAUUGGCAAUUUUGACACGCGAUUCAGUUUGGUAAGAAAGAUUCUAUAGGCUAAAGAUUCAGUAGGAGCAAAACGAAACAAUCAAUAUGAGAAUUAAGUUUGGGGGGUAAAUCAUAAUAAAACUCAUUUUCUCACCCCUUUGAUUGAAGUGUAAAUGAAGAAAGGGGUGUACCAAUAAUUUAUCCCACCUUACAACAAAGUCUCAGUCUCCAAUUUAAUAAUAUGUUCCAUUGUACCAAAGAAAGUUAAAAAACGGUGGGGGUCAUGAUGGAGACUACGAUCAGAAGGAAUUUCCGUGCUCUUCGCGAGGACUUGUGGUGCAAGUUGUUGUGACAAAACAAGCUUUAAAGGGUUGUGUUGAAUUGUAGAUUGUUACUUCAAAAUAAUAGAAAAUUUAAAUUUUGAACUUUGUUCAUUUUCUCAAUUGCUCUGACUAGAUGAUGAUACAGUUGAUAGUUCAAAUACAUGAUGAUAUUUACUGAGGUCUUAAAAGCACUUUGAAAAUGUUGUAGAGCCUAACAAGGUCUAAAUCCAUUAUUAGGUUUAUAAAUAUAUGAUUCUUAGAUUUCUUAAGUACUGAUGUAAUAAAUGUGGACCUAAAACAAUGCUUGAUAUUGCCCCAAAAAUAGUUCUUGAUUCUUUUCGGCCCUUCGAAAAAUACUUAGAUCUGCCUUGGCUGUGUGAAUCAUGUUUUCUGUUCUGCUUUGGGAUAUAUGAUAACAAUCUAGUCUCAUUUUUAUUAUGGCUAGUGGUUCUGCUCUUGAUAAAAGUAUAAAACAGCAUCAGGUAUAAAGUAUGGGGAGAAGUGAACAUUGUAAUUAAUAAAGAGAAACCCAUGAGUAAGUGAAUUCAAUAUCAUUACACAAAAAACAGAAGACAUGAUCAUUUUGAUGGUCUAUACUAAUCAAUUGUACAAAAUUUGACCACUAAUUGAUGUUAGUCAUCUAGAGUGUGAGAUUUAUAGCCCAUUCAUUUUAUGUUGGAAAACAUCUUCGGUGCAAGGAAUUGUGAGACCGCCCAUUGGAUGAUCAUAUCCAAACUCUUGCUCGGCUUGACUCAGUAAGUCUUGGAAUGAAGGUUUGUUCAAGUAUGAUAUUGGGAUGACAAACCGCUUAUGCUUCUCUCCAACAUACACUGCAAGAUACCCCUUUGGCACUUCCACACAUUUUGAAGAUGCUUGGAUGGCACUGAAUGAUGCCCUUCGAAUAGCAGGUAAACGGAAACCCAUAUUUUUUGUUUGUUUGAAGGAAGAACAAAGCAAAGUUUUCAAAUCUGAGAAGAAAGUGUGUAAGUUUUAAUGCUUCAAGCUGCAAAUGUCUUAUGUUGGUUGUGAAGGCAAGAGGGUGUUUAUUUAUAGAUUUUAAGGGUCUUUAGAAACUCAAUUCAUAGAGAAAUAAUUGAUGAAGGGGUUAAAGGCUAGGGGCAUGCAUAAGAGAGUUCACAUGGUCUUGUCUAUAGAGGACUCUAUCAAGUACUAAUAACUUGUCUAAGAGUGCAUACCCCACCUUCUCAAAGGAAUGGCCAAAACUGCAACAACUAGCAAUAAAAUGAGUCAUACUCAAAUGAAACCUAAUGUUUGUUCAUGGUUCAUGCAUUCUUUAAUUUCUACUCUGUAUUUUUGUAAACAUACUUUAGACAUCUCACAUGUUUCUUCACAUUAUUAAUGCAUAUACAUCUACCAAUUAAUAUCAAGGUGACAGUAUCAAAUUUGUAAGCCUUGACCAGGACCUGAUUGAUAGCUCUCAAACAUAGUGUUUGGAGGCAAUAAGAGAAGCCAAAAUUGAAUACAUGAUAAUGAGCUACCAUAAACAUAUUUUUUAGGUGUACCAGAUUUCAAGCAACGCCCCGUGAAAUAUGACCAAUAUGAACCACAUCAUUUUGAUCCUGCUUGCAUAGUCUAUUUUAACUACUACACCAUUUUGAUCAUUCAGAUAUAAGGAAGUUUUCUGAGACAACACCAUGUGACCUCUUAUAUGCCCUUGUCUCCCAAUAGGUCCCAUGACUCCACCUAUAUAUAUUCAUGGCUUCAACCAGUUAAGAACAACACAUCCUAAAGCACUCAAAUUCAGAAACUUGUAUCUCACUUACUAGUCUUUUCUCAACAAACACAACAAUGGGUUUUCAUUUCCCACUUAUCAGAAGGGCAUCAUUUACUUCAAACCAAGCAUCUACAAAAGUUGCGAAUGUGCCGAAGGGCUACAUAGCAGUAUAUGUUGGAGAGAACACAAAGCGGUUCGUGAUCCCAAUAUCAUACUUGAACCAACGUUCAUUUCAAGAUUUACUUGGUCAAGCUGAGGAAGAAUUCGGGUAUGAACAUCAAAUGGGUGGCCUAACAAUUCCUUGUAGAGAAGAUGAGUUUUUGGAUAUUACUUCACAACUUCAAUAACUGCUAAUCCCAUGCAACAUAAAGCCUGAUUAGACUUACAUUACUUAGACACAAUUUUUGUAACAGAUUAAUAACUUGAAAAUAUUGUUCUUUGUCAUUAUCCUACCUACAUGGGUACAAUAUAUGAAAGAGAAAUUUAUCAGCAAUACCAUAUAUUAUUUUUUCGUUUUCCAUCAAAUCUCAGUCUAAAUUUUCUUUGCAUGGUCCUAAAAGAAGGAAAACAAAAAAUAAUCACUAAAUUAGUUUCAAUGAUCAUACUAUAUUGCAAAACCAGGAAAAAAGAUGCAAGUAACUAUUAUGAUUAAUAACGAUGAUUAUAUAUGACAAAAAGAUUAUGAUAGAACAACUUGGUAAAUGCUGCACCCAAAAAAAAACUUAGUGAUUUCUAUACUAAAAAUAAACGUGGUUAUUUGAUAAGUAUUUAGAGGAAGGUUUUUACCGUGCCUAAUUACCAUGAUCCACUUGACUGAAAUAUGGCAGAUAAAUGUGAGAUGUCUUGAGCAUGUCUGAAAAAUUACAAGAAGGCCAUCGGCUAACCAAUUGUUAUCUUAUCGGCUAUUAAGUCUCUUUCUCUACAGGUGGCAACUAAGUUAGCAUGAACUUUCAAAUCUCAAGUAAUCCUUGAUAAAGACCUUGAAGACAAUACCAUGUGAGCUCUUGUCUCAUUAGACCCCAUCAAUUAGCCCCUCAAGUCCUCAACCAUUCAUUUCAGUGGAGAAAUGUUUCCACAAAAACUAGGACUCAGUAUAUCUAUAUAUACACUCAUCUCAUCAUGGCAUUCUCAAGCAAACUAAGUCAGGUACAAUAAGAACUCAAAUAUUUAUUUCUUACACAAUCCCUGAAGUUCAUUGUAUUGUUCUUGUCGUGUAGCAACAUAUAACAAUGGGAUUUCGCAUACCUGGUAUUAGAAGGGCUUCAUUCCAAGCAGCUCCAAAGGCUGUGGAAGUCCCAAAAGGGUACCUUGCAGUCUACGUUGGAGAGAAAAUGAAGCGUUUUAUUAUUUCAAUUUCAUACUUGAGCCAACCUUCAUUUCAAGAAUUACUAAGCCAAGUUGAAGAAGAAUUUGGAUAUGAUCAUCCAAUGGGUGGUCUCACAAUUCCUUGCAACGAGGAUGCUUUCUUAGACCUUGUUUCUCGGUUAAAUAGGCUAUAAAUCAUACUGAAGGAAACUGACAUAGAUUAGUUGAGGCAAAUUGGAAUUGUACAGCAGAAAGUUUCAUUUUUUCUUUUCUUUUUGUCCAUCUUUUGUAACAGUAAAAUGCUUUGCUUUUAAAGCAGUUAUGAAUAGAGGAAAUAUAGUUCUUGAUCAAA